GUAGGGAAUAUUGCGCAAUGGACGAAAGUCUGACGCAGCGACACCGUGUGAAGGAUGAAGAUCUUCGGAUCGUAAACUUCUGUCAAUUGGGGACGAAGGUAUUUAGGGUUAAUAGCCCUAAGUAUUGACGGUACCCAAUAAGGAAGUCUCGGCUUACUCCGUGCCAGCAGCCGCGGUAAGACGGGGGAGGCAAGCGUUGUCCGGAAUUAUUGGGCGUAAAGAGCGCGUAGGUGGUUUAUCAAGUCAUUUGUGAAAACUUUAGGCUUAACUUAAAGAUUGCAAGUGAUACUGGUAAACUUGAGCACAGUAGAGGAAAGUGGAAUUCCUGGUGUAGCGGUGAAAUGCGCAGAUAUCAGGAAGAACACCAGUGGCGAAGGCGGCUUUCUGGGCUGUUGCUGACACUGAGGCGCGAAAGCUAGGGGAGCGAACAGGAUUAGAUACCCCUGUAGUCC
rnacentral:rRNA from 1 species